GUGAGGAAUUUUGCGCAAUGGGCGGAAGCCUGACGCAGCAACGCCGCGUGAGUGAUGAAGGCCUUCGGGUUGUAAAGCUCUGUCGGAGGGGAAGAACCUCCGCGUGUCGAACAGACGUGCGGACUGACGGUACCCUUCAAGGAAGCACCGGCUAACUCCGUGCCAGCAGCCGCGGUAAUACGGAGGGUGCGAGCGUUAUUCGGAAUUAUUGGGCGUAAAGGGCGCGCAGGCGGCCCGCCAGGUCGGAUGUGAAAGCCCCCGGCUCAACCGGGGAUGUGCAUUCGAAACCGGCGGGCUUGAGUAUGGGAGAGGAAAACGGAAUUCCCGGUGUAGAGGUGAAAUUCGUAGAGAUCGGGAGGAACACCAGUGGCGAAAGCGGUUUUCCGGACCAAUACUGACGCUGAGGCGCGAAGGUGCGGGGAGCAAACAGGAUUAGAUACCCGGGUAGUCC
rnacentral:rRNA from 1 species